rnacentral:rRNA from 1 species
GGAGUUUGGGCCGUGUCUCAGUCCCAAUGUGGCCGGUCGCCCUCUCAGGUCGGCUACUGAUCGUCGCUUUGGUGGGCCGUUACCCCGCCAACUGGCUAAUCAGACGCGGGACCAUCCUAUACCGUCGGAGCUUUUCACACUGCGCCAUGCGGCACCGUGCGCUUAUGCGGUAUUAGCAGCCGUUUCCGGCUGUUAUCCCCCUGUAUAGGGCAGGUUUCCCACGCGUUACUCACCCGUCCGCCACUCAGUCAUUCCUUCCUUCUCCCCGGAGGGAUCCGUCCGGAAGCUUCGUUCGACUUGCAUGUGUUAAGCACGCCGCCAGCGUUCAUC